rnacentral:rRNA from 1 species
AGAGUUUGAUCCUGGCUCAGAAUCAACGCUGGCGGCGCGCCUAACACAUGCAAGUCGAACGAGAAAGCAGGGGCAACUCUGUGAGUAAAGUGGCGUACGGGUGAGUAACACGUGGAUAAUCUACCCUUUGGUGGGGGAUAACCCUGGGAAACCGGGGCUAAUACCGCAUAACCUCGAGAGAGGAAAGUCGCAAGACGCCGAAGGAGGAGUCCGCGGCCGAUUAGCUAGUUGGUAGGGUAAAAGCCUACCAAGGCAAAGAUCGGUAGCCGGCCUGAGAGGGCUCACGGCCACACUGGCACUGAAACACGGGCCAGACUCCUACGGGAGGCAGCAGUGGGGAAUCUUGCACAAUGGGGGAAACCCUGAUGCAGCGACGCCGCGUGAGCGAUGAAGCCCUUCGGGGUGUAAAGCUCUUUCGGCAGGGAAGAUGAUGACGGUACCUGCAGAAGCAGCUGCCGGCUAACUACGUGCCAGCAGCCGCGGUA